GACGAACGCUGGCGGCGUGCUUAACACAUGCAAGUCGAACGGAAAGGCCCUGCUUUUGUGGGGUGCUCGAGUGGCGAACGGGUGAGUAACACGUGAGUAACCUGCCCUUGACUUUGGGAUAACUUCAGGAAACUGGGGCUAAUACCGGAUAGGAGCUCCUGCUGCAUGGUGGGGGUUGGAAAGUUUCGGCGGUUGGGGAUGGACUCGCGGCUUAUCAGCUUGUUGGUGGGGUAGUGGCUUACGAAGGCUUUGACGGGUAGCCGGCCUGAGAGGGUGACCGGCCACAUUGGGACUGAGAUACGGCCCAGACUCCUACGGGAGGCAGCAGUGGGGAAUAUUGCACAAUGGGCGGGAGCCUGAUGCAGCAACGCCGCGUGCGGGAUGACGGCCUUCGGGUUGUAAACCGCUUUCGCCUGUGACGAAGCGUGAGUGACGGUAAUGGGUAAAGAAGCACCGGCUAACUACGUG
rnacentral:rRNA from 1 species